rnacentral:tRNA from 1 species
GUUUAAUUAGUAUAAUAAGUACAAUUAAUUUCCAAUUAAUAGGUUUUGAAAUAAAAUUUAACAAUUAACA